CCUACGGGAGGCAGCAGUGGGGAAUAUUGGGCAAUGGGCGCAAGCCUGACCCAGCAACGUAGCGUGAAGGAAGAAUGCCCUCGGGGUUUUAACUUUUUUUGUUAGGGACGUAACAAAUGACGGUACCUGACGAAUAAGCCACGGCUAACUACGUGCCAGCAGUAGCUGUAAUACGGAGGUGGCAAGCGUUAUCCGGAUUUACUGGUUUUAAAGGGCGUGUAGGUGGGAGAGCAAGUCAGUUGUGAAAUUCCGUGGCUCAACCCUGGAAUUGGAGUUGAAACUGGUUUUCUUGAGUAAAGGAGAGGUAGGCGGAAUUCGGGGUGUAGCGGUGAAAUGCGUAGAUAUAACGAAGAACACCGAUGGCGAAGGCAGCCUGCUGGACAUUAACUGACGCUGAGGCGCGAAAGCGUGGGGAGCAAACAGGAUUAGAUACCCGAGUAGUC
rnacentral:rRNA from 1 species